rnacentral:snoRNA from 1 species
AUACCAUGAUGUGGUCACUCCCUUUGAUAUUCCUUAAACCGAUCCCAUGCCUCGAAUAAUGACUCAUCGCUCUUUUGUUCAAAUGAUUGGAUCUUGUGCCU